UGCCCGGGGGGCAGCAGUGGGGAAUAUUGCACAAUGGGGGGAACCCUGAUGCAGCGACGCCGCGUGGGUGAAGAAGCGCCUCGGCGCGUAAAGCCCUGUCAGCAGGGAAGAAAAUGACGGUACCUGACUAAGAAGCCCCGGCUAACUACGUGCCAGCAGCCGCGGUAAUACGUAGGGGGCAAGCGUUAUCCGGAUUUACUGGGUGUAAAGGGAGCGUAGACGGCGAUGCAAGCCAGAUGUGAAAGCCCGGGGCUCAACCCCGGGACUGCAUUUGGAACUGUAUAGCUGGAGUGUCGGAGAGGCAG
rnacentral:rRNA from 1 species